rnacentral:rRNA from 1 species
GAUGAACGCUGGCGGCGUGCCUAAUACAUGCAAGUCGAGCGAACGGACGAGAAGCUUGCUUCUCUGAUGUUAGCGGCGGACGGGUGAGUAACACGUGGAUAACCUACCUAUAAGACUGGGAUAACUUCGGGAAACCGGAGCUAAUACCGGAUAAUAUUUUGAACCGCAUGGUUCAAAAGUGAAAGACGGUCUUGCUGUCACAUAUAGAUGGAUCCGCGCUGCAUUAGCUAGUUGGUAAGGUAACGGCUUACCAAGGCAACGAUGCAUAGCCGACCUGAGAGGGUGAUCGGCCACACUGGAACUGAGACACGGUCCAGACUCCUACGGGAGGCAGCAGUAGGGAAUCUUCCGCAAUGGGCGCAAGCCUGACGGAGCAACGCCGCGUGAGUGAUGAAGGUCUUCGGAUCGUAAAACUCUGUUAUUAGGGAAGAACAUAUGUGUAAGUAACUGUGCACAUCUUGACGGUACCUAAUCAGAAAGCCACGGCUAACUACGUG